rnacentral:rRNA from 1 species
GAUGAACGCUGGCGGCGUGCCUAAUACAUGCAAGUCGGACGCAUCACUUCGGUGAUGAGUGGCGAACGGGUGAGUAAUACAUAAGUAACCUGCCCUUUCGAGGGGGAUAACUAUUGGAAACGAUAGCUAAGACCGCAUAGGCAUAUGAAUCGCAUGACUCAUAUGUAAAAUAUCCCACGGGAUAGCGAGAGGAUGGACUUAUGGCGCAUUAGCUAGUUGGUGAGGUAGAGGCUCACCAAGGCGACGAUGCGUAGCCGACCUGAGAGGGUGGACGGCCACACUGGGACUGAGACACGGCCCAGACUCCUACGGGAGGCAGCAGUAGGGAAUUUUCGGCAAUGGGCGAAAGCCUGACCGAGCAACGCCGCGUGAGGGAAGAAGUAUUUCGGUAUGUAAACCUCUGUUAUAAAGGAAGAACAGCGCAGAUAGGGAAUGAUCUGCGAAUGACGGUACUUUAUGAGAAAGCCACGGCUAACUACGUGCCAGCCGCCGCGGUAAGAC